UCCUCAUUGUACAUGCUGUGUGUAUUUGUCACGUACACAGCGCAUGCAAUGUGGACA
rnacentral:pre_miRNA from 1 species